UACCAGCUCUUCGAGUGGUGUGGAUGUUUAUUGGGCCUAAAGCAUCCGUAGCUGGCUGGGCAAGUCCCCUGUUAAAUCCACCGAUUUAAUCGUUGGAGUGCGGGGGAUACUGUUCGGCUAGGGGACGGGAGAGGCAGACGGUAUUUUCGUGGUAGGGGUGAAAUCCUAUAAUCCCGGGAAGACCACCAGUGGCGAAGGCUGUCUGCUAGAACGCGCCCGACGGUGAGGGAUGAAAGCUGGGGGAGCGAACCGGAUUAGAUACCCGGGUAGUCCCAGCUGUAAACGAUGCAGGCUAGGUGUUUGGGCGGCCACGUGCCGCUCUAGUGCCGCAGGGAAGCCGUUAAGCCUGCCGCCUGGGGAGUACGGCCGCAAGGCUAGAAAACUUAAAGGAAUUGGCGGGGGAGCACCACAAGGGGUGAAGCUUGCGGUUU
rnacentral:rRNA from 1 species